rnacentral:rRNA from 1 species
UACGUAGGGUCCGAGCGUUGUCCGGAAUUACUGGGCGUAAAGCGCACGUAGGCGGAUUGUUAAGUUAGGGGUGAAAUCCCAGGGCUCAACCCUGGAACUGCCUUUAAUACUGGCAAUCUCGAGUCCGAGAGAGGUGAGUGGAAUUCCGAGUGUAGAGGUGAAAUUCGUAGAUAUUCGGAGGAACACCAGUGGCGAAGGCGGCUCACUGGCUCGGUACUGACGCUGAGGUGCGAAAGCGUGGGGAGCAAACAGG